CUCCAGCUUGCUGGGGGGAUUAGUGGCGAACGGGUGAGUAACACGUGAGUAACCUGCCCCUGACUCUGGGAUAAGCGCUGGAAACGGCGUCUAAUACCGGAUAUGACAAUCGACGGCAUCGUCUGGUUGUGGAAAGAAUUUCGGUUGGGGAUGGACUCGCGGCCUAUCAGGUUGUUGGUGAGGUAAUGGCUCACCAAGCCUACGACGGGUAGCCGGCCUGAGAGGGUGACCGGCCACACUGGGACUGAGACACGGCCCAGACUCCUACGGGAGGCAGCAGUGGGGAAUAUUGCACAAUGGGCGCAAGCCUGAUGCAGCAACGCCGCGUGAGGGACGACGGCCUUCGGGUUGUAAACCUCUUUUAGUAGGGAAGAAGCGAAAGUGACGGUACCUGCAGAAAAAGCACCGGCUAACUACGUGCCAGCAGCCGCGGUAAUACGUAGGGUGCAAGCGUUGUCCGGAAUUAUUGGGCGUAAAGAGCUCGUAGGCGGUUUGUCGCGUCUGCUGUGAAAACCGGAGGCUCAACCUCCGGCCUGCAGUGGGUACGGGCAGACUAGAGUGCGGUAGGGGAGAUUGGAAUUCCUGGUGUAGCGGUGGAAUGCGC
rnacentral:rRNA from 1 species